GCCGAAGUAGCUCAGGGGUAGAGCGCAUCCUUGGUAAGGAUGAGGUCACGAGUUCAAUUCUCGUCUUCGGCU
rnacentral:tRNA from 2 species